CCUACGGGUGGCAGCAGUGGGGGAUAUUGCACAAUGGGGGAAACCCUGAUGCAGCGACGCCGCGUUUGGGAAGACGGUCCUCUGGAUUGUAAACCACUUUCCCCAGGGACGAAGCUGCCUGUACCUGGGGCGGCCGCUCCGCCUAACUACGUGCCAGCAGCCGCGGUAAUACGUAGGGAGCGAGCGUUGUCCGGACUUACUGGGUGUAAAGGGAUCGUAGGCGGGACUGCAAGUUGGUUGUCAAAUCUACCGGCUCAACCGGUAGCCGCACUCAAAACUGCGGUUCUUGAGUGAAGUAGAGGCAGGCGGAAGUCCUAGUGUAGCGGUGAAAUGCGUAGAUAUUAGGAGGAACACCAGUGGCGAAGGCGGCCUGCUGGGCUGUUACUGACGCUGAGGCUCGAAAGUGUGGGGAGCAAACAGGAUUAGAUACCCGGGUAGUC
rnacentral:rRNA from 1 species